UACGUAGGGGGCAAGCGUUGUCCGGAAUCAUUGGGCGUAAAGAGCGCGUAGGCGGCCCGAUAAGUCCGCUGUGAAAGUCGGGGGCUCAACCCUCGAAUGCCGGUGGAUACUGUCGGGCUAGAGUGCGGAAGAGGCGAGUGGAAUUCCUGGUGUAGCGGUGAAAUGCGCAGAUAUCAGGAGGAACACCGAUUGCGAAGGCAGCUCGCUGGGACGUAACUGACGCUGAGACGCGAAAGCGUGGGGAGCAAACAGG
rnacentral:rRNA from 1 species